rnacentral:miRNA from 1 species
AGCUAAGGGGCCCGGGGAGCCA